GUGAAACUGUGGACUUCCGGCAAAAACCGACACCGCCAUGGAGUUCCUCUCUUCGAGCUCUACGCCGUGCUGCGGUGGAUUGCGUGAAUCCGAUGUCGGCUCCGUCGUCUUCCCCAACUCCGGCGAGCUUUUCCAACACCAUUGUUCAUCUCUGGCCGAAGGUGAGCACACCAUCUUGUUCGUCUCGUCGAUAUCGUUCCAUUUUGCCGUUCAUGCGCAAGAUCGGACCGGCUUUCCCAUCUUCCUCUCUCUUUCUCCUGUUUC
rnacentral:lncRNA from 1 species